GCUGGGCAUGGUGGCACACGCCUGUAAUCCCAGCAGCUCAGGAGGCUGAGGCAGGAGGAUGGUGAGUUCAAAGCCAGUCUCAG
rnacentral:sRNA from 1 species